CUUGCCAUUGGGCACUUGAAACGUGGACUUAUCGAUGGAGAAGUUCGAUUGAUGCACUCAUACAGUGGCCGCUCUGUUCAUGCGACUUAACGCCAUAGGAUACUUCUACUUUAGAAGCUCUGUAGCAUUUGGCCCUCUGCAACCCGGGAGUUAGAAGAGUGUAUUUUCAGAAAUUCAAGGUAGUUAUUGAAAAUUGCUCCUGAUUUAUGGCAAAAAGUUAGAAUAAAAUUAGGUACUUUGUUCGCCUGCACGAGAUAUUGUCUAAAAUUCAGUGGCAAGCAUUGCCAUGAGUAUUGAUACCGUCCAACAAAGUGGCAUCAUUCAUCAAGGUUCAAAAUGGAUAUAUUGAGAAUAGGUCAACCAGUACUACAAGCAAGUCAUGUAAUGAUUGAAUCAUUUCUAAAUGACUUAGAACCUACGAAAUUGUUAUUUCACAGACGCUGAAGGCUUUUGCUCAAUGUCUGUAAGCACAAAAUGGAUAACACUUGUUUAUUCUUAGGCUAAUUAUCUUGGGCGGUAGUGUUUGAUGCUGUGCGACCUACAGGCUAGUUGAGUGAAAGGAAAAGAACUCUAGACCGACUCCAGCCAGCGAUUUGUCCAGAGUAGGCAUAUCAUAUAGGUGUAAAAAGCAUUAUUAAAUACUAUAAGUAAUGAUCCAACGCACUCAAGUUGUCUCCUUUUGUGGGAUGCCGAUGUUGGCGAUCUAGAAUAAGAUAAGGAUCUAAGUUACGCCAUCUUCGACAACACCCGUUCCUAUUUCUCGUAUAAACAUCCCCUUCGUUCAGUUAACCUGCCUGCCGUAAAGACGUUGAGAUGUGGAAAGCUAAGAUAUCCUACGACAACUUCCCUAUUGAAUAAGCUUUUAUCUGAAUAAGCACAUUACGUUCAACAGUAAGUUUCCCCUUGAUUUUAUAAAGUGUUUCUGCAACCGUUGCCGACAGAAUGUCGUUUUUAUAGCUCCCUUCGAUCGAUGCAUUGACCAUACAACAGGUUCAUAUUUUGUGUAGUGGUUUGCUACUCGUACGUUUAAAGCCUGUGUUUAUAUAUGUGGGCGUAAGCUACCUAUCAGUUUACCGAUUUAGUGGCUCUCUCGCUUGCUCGUAUCGCAUAUUAAACGUAACAAUAUUGCAAGGGGUGAAUUGAUCGCGCACGAUGCAGAUCGAGUGAAUUUGUUAUUGUGGCGUCCUUAUACCCAUUGUAUAGCCAUGCAGAGGUCCAACAGACGCUGUUGAUGAUCUUGUCUGAUAUCACAAAGAACCAGCUGCAGAGGAAACCCAACGUCGCUGAUAACGUACCACUUCAAUAAAUGUGUCACAGCUCAUGUAAGAUGUUAUGCAGGCCACGAAGCAGCCUAUAGGACAAGCCAAACAGUAUCUGAAGACAUGGGAUGCAUAUAUAUAUAUACAUGGUAGGAAAGGUCAAUAUGACAUCUAUAAUCAUCUUCAUUCUUUGCAGAAUACACAACAGAUGUGAACAGAGAGUCAAUCAAAUAGAUUAACUUGCAACCGACUUGUCAGAUGACUGUUACGUUGUCUCGCUAAUAAACAGACUCCUGCGACUUUUCUUCCUUAUACGUUAGGAUAUAGCUUCACUCUAGAUAGAAUAGGUGGAAUGAAAAAUCAUGUAGAUACAUUGCACAUUCUUCCAUAGACGUCCAGCUUAAAUUUACUGCGUCUAUAGAAACAAAAGUACGGUAUGUUUUUGUCAGUACAUCACAUAUAGUUAAUGCAAUGUGCCAAUGGCCUGCAAAACAAGUUACUGCAGAGAUAAAAACAAUGCGUGAUGAUACCAGCAUUAAAUAAGUACUAGGUAAAAACAAGCUUGCCCUUCCGUCGAAAAGAAUUAAUCACAACUGUACUUCGACGCAGUGUAGAAUGGUAUACUUGCAGGCGAAUUUUCAUCUGUCUGUAUUAUAAUAGCUAGAUAGAUUUGAGAUUAAGCAACGUUGACCUAACAACCAAUAGUGGAUAACAAGCGUAUCCUUGAAAUUUAGUCCUCAGUUUAAUUAGAAUUGGACUAACUACCUUUUGAGCUGUCGUUUCAGAAACGCUUGUAUUCACGUGAGCCUAGUGUAUUUAAGGUACAACAACAGUCUACCACUCUUCUUGCUUCAUACCAUUCGUACCGGUGGCAGGUUUUAGAAGCAGUAUAAAGUCCCCCAGUGAACUCAACGAUCGUAUCUUAUCUUGCCUCGCUAAAAUGUGCCCGUGACUCAUCAUCUAAUAUGACGACGCGUUUUCGGAAGUCGUUUACGAUCCCCCCCGCCUGUCGUCGUCCCAUCUCACCCAUUUGCUUCCACAAAAGCGUUCGUCAGGGGCACGGACCGUUCGUCGAUAUCAUUUGACGUCAAAUCUGACCGCAACACACAAACAUACAUUAACGAGCUCAAGGAGUGUCUGUUCGACUGUCAUGACGUGAAAGGGUGACGGCGAUGAUAAUGAUUUGUGAGCGCCACCUCAUACAAAGCGACACCUCCAGGAUUUUGUUCGCGCUGUACCAGGUGCUGUCUCGUUCUCGAACAUUCGGCAGUACAAAGCAAGAUAAAUAGAGGAAUGGGGAUGAGCAAGACAUCCCCGAACUUACCCCUGAGGGCAUGGAACAGGACCAGAACGGUGCGGAAGGAGGGUAGAAGAGUGGUAUGUGUUCAGUCGUCACUGCUGCACUUGCUGUCAUCACCGCCACAGCCACAGCCACAGCCACUGCCUCUACUAUGACGGCAGUAGGGGCAUCGCUGGCGCUAUCCGAGGGCGAUAGCGGCACGUGCUUCGAAUGACACGGCAUGCUCAAAUAAUACAUUGCUCCAGAAGUCGUGGACUCAUGCUGAAUGUCAACUCCUAUUGCCCUGCACGAGGGCGUCAGCCCCAGCAGAAAACGCGGUAGCAGCAGACGACACAACCGUACUGGUGCACGCUCAAUCUUAGAGUUUGUUUAUGAAAACAACUAAUACGGGGGCGGCGACAAUGACAACAACAAAAAUACAACACAGCCCGCGUGAUGUCCAGUUAUGAAUGCAGUGAUGAUAACAUCUAGAACGGCUGU